CUUUUGUUUGUACCAUUUUGCUUCCCAAAGUUAGUUCAUAGAAGAGUUGUAGUCUUACAAUAUAGAAUAUCACGCUAUAGCCUAUAUAUAGUGCCGUGAAUGUCGAUAAAAAUUAAAGCUCAGAUUAUAUAAUAGGUAGAGCUCAUAUACUAUAAUAAUAAAUGUACCUUAUUUCAAGAGACAGUUUAGUUUUAUUCGCCUAAAAUCAACCAACAUUCUAGUACCUCAGAGUUAAAAGUUGAUGUUUGUGAUUAUGCAUUUCAGGCAAAUAUUCAUAAGCUGUUGCGUACCCAGUAAUGUGCGUCCGAUAAGUACAUUUUCAUCAAUAUUGUUGUCACGUUGGUCUUCCGUUAUCGAGAUUGAUUCGCUAUUGACUCAGUCGCCUAAUAACCACGGAAAGCACACUACGAGUGAGCAACUCAUCUUCCGCACCAUUUCAAAAAGUAUUCGAUGACAAUACAACUCAGAGUUAAAUUUUCAAACAUGUGGCCGUUCCGAUACUAGACAAAUAUUUAUCUGGUACGAAUGGCACUUUCUUUGCAUAUGGACAGACUGGUAGUGGUAAAUCCCAUACUAUUUAUGGAUCCCAAGAAGACGAAGGUAUAAUUCCAAGAUCUUUGAAAUACUUAUUUGAUAAUAAGUUAUCCAUUCAAUCUACAGAUGAACGUAACACAUUCUCAAUGGCAUACUUUGAAAUUUACAACGAAACAGUAUAUAAUUUAUUGAAACCGCCAAAAAAUAGACAGAAAUCAAAUGUUAACUUUAACAAUCUGGGACCUGAUAAUGCUGUACGUUUCACGGUCGAUAAAAACGGAGACGUUACAUUUAGAAACCUGAAUAUUAUAAGGAUCAAAAACGUAUCUCAAGCGUUUAAGUAGUUGAUAUCAGGUAAUACUAGACGGCAAGUUUCAUCGACCUUCCUUAACCAUAAAUCAAGCCGAUCACACUGCAUAUGUAGAAUCGAGUACGUCAACAGGACGAAAGGAGAGAAAUCGAACAAAACAGUUCUAAAUUUGGUGGACUUAGCAGGUUCUGAAUGCAUUUCGAAACUAAACAACGACAAACAGACUAUCGCCGAAUCAAGAUUUAUCAAUUUAUCCCUGAUGCAUCUACAUCAGGUGAUAAACUGCUUGGCGAGUCCGGUCAAACGGACGCACGUGCCCUACCGAAACUCGGCAAUAACACGAUUGCUCAAGGGUUCGUUGGGGUAUAACUGUGUGACCGUGAUGAUUACCACUAUAGUAUUGAACCAACCGAGUUUAGAAGAGGGUUUAUUCACUAACGCUCACGAAAUGUCUGGUAAAUCGAUUAUAAUCUUUGAGUAACUAUUUCAGGAAUCAACGUCUACUUGCAAAUAUGCAAGAGACGUUUCAGGCAUAAAACCUAUAGAAAUCAAACCUGUGAUACGGAAAAGAAGAUUUGCAAAGAGAGUUGCUAAGAAAGUAAAUUGUUGAUACAUCUAAUACAUAUAAUAAAUAAUAAAUACA